rnacentral:lncRNA from 1 species
UUGCAUCUUCCAGGAACUUUCCUUCCCUGUAUUUAUCAAUUCAGGAAGUUUCCUUGCAUCUUCCAGGAACCUUCCCUUCCCUGUAUUUUGCCUAAACAUUAGCCUAUAAAUAGGCAUACCAAUUGUAAAGGGGAGUGUGACCAACGGAGAAAAGAAAGAAAGGGAAGAAGAGAAAAAGAAGAGAGAAGAAGAAGAGAAAAGAAGAAAGAAAAGAAGAGAAAAAGAAGAAAGAAAAGAGAGAAGAAGAAAAAGAGAGAAAAUUCAGUGAGCCUCACAUAUUGUAAACUCUAAAGUUGUAGCCCUAUUAUUUUAUAUAGUGAAAACGUUACUGCUGCUGCUCUCCGAGGACGUAGGCAUAGCCGAACCUCGUUAAAUGCUGUGUCUCAUCUACUUUACGUGCAGCUCAAUAUUCAUACAUAUUCCAGGUUAUUUUUAUAACACGUUAUCAGCACGAGAAGCUCUCAGGUAUAAUUUUUGUGCUGCACUAUUAUCUAUACUACUAACCACUAACAAAAAUGGACCCUUGGUAAUACUAAACAUAUUAUCAGUGGGAGACCGUUGCUAAUACUAACAUUUUUCUUAUUUUAUUCGGUGGUGGUUUUAACCCCACAUUUAUUUACUGUAUGGUGUAGGUUUAUUACCCAUACAUGCACCUUUACUUUAUCGCAAAUUUAUUUUACCGCAUAUUUAUUUUAUUUACUGUAUGAUGUAGGUUUAUUACCCAUACAACAGUAUUUAUUUAAAAGGGUGGUGCGGGUUUAUCGUCCACGCCUUUGCUUUUAUUUAAAUGUAUGGAGCAGAAUUAGUGCCCAUACAAGCACAAUUUACUUUACCGCACAUUUAAUUUUAUUUAAAGUAUGGUGCGGGAUUAACGUCCAUACAGCAAGCAAUUUAAUUUAUGCAUUUACUUUACCGCACAUUUAAUUUUAUUUAAAGUAUGGUGCGGGAUUAACGUCCAUACAGCAAGCAAUUUAAUUUAUGAAUUUAAUUUACCGCACAUUUACAUUUAUUUAAAAGGGUGGUGCGGGUUUAUCGUCUACGCCUUUACUUUUAUUUAAAUGUAUGGAGCAGAAUUAAUGCCCAUACAAGCACCUUAACUUUAUGAAUUUAAUUUACCGCACAUUUACAUUUAUUUAAAGUGUGGUGCGGGUUUAUCGUCCAUACCAGUAAUUUAUUUACCAGCAAUUUAUUUUAUGGAUUAAAUGUGCUGUAUGAUGAGUUUUUACAGUAUGCAGAUCAGGACCAGAAGUUCCUUGAUCCUCAUCAUACAAUUACAUCAGAACUUGAAGAUCCUUGAUGAUGAUGUUAAUAUGAGAGCUGGCAGUCUCUCCGGUACUGUAUUUGUAAACAUGUGAUCGGACUUAAGGGUCCUUGAUCCCUGACAUGUAAAUAAGGACCUAGAGUUCCUUAAUGAUGUAACAGUACCGUAUUGGUUCAUGGUGCCGUACACAUUGAUGAUAACUGUACUGGCAGAUGAAUAGAUACGUAUUCAUGACUUGAUGAAUAGUACUAUUUACAUGAAUAUUGACGUAUGCAUAAAUAUUAACCAUUUUGGGUAAACCGUCACUAUAUACAAAAGGGAACCUGCAGUUCCUUAAA